rnacentral:rRNA from 1 species
CGCAAGCCUGACGGAGCAAUACCGCGUGAGGGAGGAAGGCUUUUGGGUUGUAAACCUCAAAAAUUAGGGAAGAAGAAAGUGACGGUACCUAAUGUAAGCAUCGGCUAACUCCGUGCCAGCAGCCGCGGUAAUACGGAGGAUGCAAGCGUUAUCCGGAAUCAUUGGGCGUAAAGCGUCCGUAGGUGGUUUAUCAAGUCUGCUGUUAAAGCAUGGAGCUUAACUCCAUAAAGGCAGUGGAAACUGGUGAACUUGAGUUCGGGAGGGGUAGAGGGAAUUCCCAGUGUAGCGGUGAAAUGCGUAGAGAUUGGGAAGAACACCAGUGGCGAAGGCGCUCUACUGGACCGAAACUGACACUGAGGGACGAAAGCUAAGGUAGCG